ACGUAAAGCGCAUGCAGGCGGCCUGUUAAGUCAGAUGUAGAAAGGCCCGGGGACCUUAACCGUACGGUAAGUUGCUAUUUAGUAAACGUGGCGAGGCUAGAGUCUUGUAGAGGGGGGUAGGAAUUUCAGGUGUAGCGGUGAAAUGCGUAGAGAUCUGAAGGAAUACCAGUGGCGAAGGCGGCCCCCUGGACAAAGACUGACGCUCAGAUGCGAAAGCGUGGGGAGCAAACAGGAUUAGAUACCCUGGUAG
rnacentral:rRNA from 1 species